GUCGGUUCAGGGCAGGUUCCUUGAACCAUAGGGGGACCAGCAGCAGCAGGGAGAGGGUGAGUGAUGGAGGAAGGAGAAGUUGUAGGGCCUCUUCUGGGUCUGCACCAAGGGGGUCUUUAAAUGCCAAUUUGAGGAAUCAGUACUUUGAUGUGAAUGCAGGUUUAUUCUGUGUGCAUUAGGGAGCCAUGGAAGGGAGUUCCAUGAGAUGUGUGUAUUGGAAGACGUGCUUCCAUGAAAGGCUUUGCCUUCUAUUGGUUUCCCUGGCCUACCGAGGGACCCAUCUCUGUGUGUCGUCUUGUUUGUCUGCACUCACUGGAGGCUCAGUAAGGCUUUGAAGGCUGGAAAUUACACCAACAGAGAGGGCAGAUUUUGUUGCCCCGGGAGAGCGUGGGAUAUUAUUUUCAUCUGAUUUAUUUUGGAUCCCCAUGCUGAUGUGCUAACGAGCAGAAGCAGCCAGCAUCACGUGGAAGACCAGAUCUAAGCUAGCCUCAAGAGUGUACUGUAUGCACAGCACCACCAACAGCCCACGUCACCUCAAGGCCUCCUCACCAUGAGGACUGCAAGGCAGCUCCUACUUUCAUCCGCAUUUCACCUGCGAGGAAACUGAGGCCCCGGGGAACACCAGCCCGUUCUGGUUGAUGUUGAGUCUGAUCCCCGCUGCCCCAUCUGAAGUCUGUUUGCCUGACAUCGUGCGAGCGGGAGAGAACUGACUAUCAUCCCUGGCAUUGACUAGUCUUCAAAGAGUUGAUCAUUGCAUGGUGUUCUGGGACCCCCGUUUGGUGCAUAUUGGACAUAGGUUCUGCCCUCCCGAGAGAGCAGCUCAAACGGAAACAGGCAGUGGCUGACGGCGCCUUGAAGGCACAGACUCCCUCACUCUUGUGUUCCUGGUGCCCGGCACAGCGCCUGGCAGAGAGCAGGGUGCUCAGGGAUCUUCCCCUGCUCCAGCUCCCGGCUGGAGCCCCUUCCCCAGUGGCCAAUGUGCUGGGGGAAAUAGAGGCAACCCAUGUGAUGAUUCUUCAGCCUCCUAGAGGCCUCUGAGGGGUUCCUAGCUCCCAGCUGACCUCCUCCGGGAGUCUUUUGGGAGGAUUCUCGUUGACCGCUUUUUCUCCCACCUCUGAAAUUUAUUGUCCAUAAAGUGCACCUUCGUGCUCAGGUUUAUUUUAUUUUUUAAAAUCUGGGAUGAAUAAGUCUUUUUUUUUUUUUUUUUUGUCACACAACCCAGUGCUCUUUGGGACCCAAUUCUUUGCCCCUACUCUUUUUGUGGCCCAUGAUGCCAGCAUGAAGAAGGAGUUCAGUCAAGGCAGUUGGCUCUUGAUUGGCCGCCCAUCUCCUCUGAGUGCUGUUGGCUCAGUCUUUGAUGUGGUGGCUCAUCUGGGGCUCUGACAGUGGAGCAUCUGUGAGCUGCUGAGUCGGGGCUGUCCUGGCAUAAUGGGGUGAAUAGGACACAUGAAGGGGCCCUUGUCCCAGUGAGGGGAGGACACCGGGGCCUGGAUGCCUGCAGGUGGAGAGAAUGCUUGAGGGGGAAGUUGUGGAAAUGACAGAGGUCAGUAGGUUGUAUUCAGAAAGACUCUGGGAGAGGAGAGAAUGGAAGAGGUUGGAAGGACAGAGGGAGGCCUUGGCAAAGGGGGAGGGAGGGUGUCCAGACGGGACAGGCUUACGGAGGUGAGGAGGCUAGAGCACCUUUGCCUGCGGGCGGGGGCCCACGUGUGAGCCUGGCAGCUCUUCUGUCCAGGAGGGGCUGGGGCAAUCGUAAACAUUCCUCUGCACUUUGAGGAUUGGACUCCCCUCCCUCCCCAAACUGUAGGCCAGAUGGGAUCUUAUGUCUCCCUGUGAUUUCUAGGCCCAGCCUCACCUGUGUUCAGGCAACAUCGCCCGAUGCCAAGUUUGGGUCAGACCAGCUUUGCUCCAUACCCUCGAGGUCCUCCCUGGGGCUGGAGCUGCCUUUGAAGUUGAAGAGAGAAGAUUGGUGAGCUGUGUGCUGAGCCUAGAUCUCUCCACCAUCAGUGAGGCAGGGAGGCUGUCCCCUUGGAACCCUUUCUUGGGGGCCGAGGUGUUGACAUAUUAGUUGUCAGAAUGUAAGUGUUUCACCCUUGAAUGCUGCAUGAGGCUGCCCGAGUCACCGGGCAUCCCUGGGCUGCAGGGAAUCAGCAUUCACUGCACUCCUAGAGCACAACUCUAGGUGGUGCCAUUCACAUAGAAUUCAGUGCGCAUGGUGCACCCCCCUCAUGCCACUCCCCCCCCCCGCCCCAAAUUGUGUGAUGGCGGGCCACUGUCCUGCCCUUCUGGGCUCAGGGUUCUGUUUACCCGCUCAAGCUGGUCCACCUGAGGACUGGGGAUAUUCAAGGGAGGCUUUGCCCAGAGACACAGGGAUGGACAAGUUAAGUCCUCACGAGAAGUGGGCACCAGGAAACCGGAGGUUCUCCCAGAACGACAGGACCACAGAGGAGUGCGCAGUCUUAGACCAGGUAGCGGGGACAAGAAAUGACCACUUCCAUCCAUCAGGGGAAGGGAACUGCCUGAUAGCCCCGUACUGAAGAGGACCCCCAUAUGUAAGCACCCAGUGGGGCCUGGCCCCCGGUGGGCGUGAGGCGGGUCAGCAUCAGUGCCUGUCUCCAGUCUCUAGGUUUCGGGCUCUUGGGAGCGGAAGAUCUAGCCACUACUGUGACACUUGGGCGCAGGACCUUGCUGAAAUUGGAAAUGGGAUCCUGACCCAGACGGGGCUCCGGAAUUUGUUUCCUUUUGUUUUUCUCCUUCGUAAGGAAAGCUUAGUUCACUGUUUAGGAUGAAAAAUAACAACCAGAUGAACGGAGGAAGGAUCAUCAGGAAUGAUAAAUAAUAUGCUGCAGAUGUGGCUACAGAGAAGGGCCUCCAAAGGAGCACAGGGACUUUGAACAGUCACCUUGGGGGGGAGCUGCCCCCCCCCCACCGCCCCGGCCAACAGGGCCAGUGACACAAGUGCUUCUAACUCCUCCUUUGGAAUUGUCUUCAGGGUGUGUGACUCAGUUUCUUGAAUGUCCUUAUUGGUGACAGAUCUUUAGCCUUUGCUUUUGGCGGAUCAGUCAAAAAAUAAUUCGCAGUUAACAAGGGUUGUUUUGAAUAUUUUAUAGAAUAGCUAUAAAGUCCAUCUUAAAAGGAGACUUUGCAGAAGUGUUUUAAUUAAUGGAGGUACAUAUGGGAUAAGUAUAUGUCCUUCUGAGAACAACCCUUGUUUGUUCUCCUGGGUUUGACUAAAAAGCGAAUCACAGAUAUUUAUCCCGUAUUGUAGUCUAUAUAAUAAAACAACGUGUUUUGAUGUUGAAAGGCUGUAUGCUAACCACUUCCUCCUCCUGCGAUUGCAAAUUCAUGCCUCUGACGGUGUAUAAUGCAUUGGCUUUGGCCAAGGAAGGGCGGGAAGAGAGGCAUCGGGCAGACCCAAGGGAGGACUUGGUACAAUUAUUCAGGGAGAAGGUUUGGGUCCCAUCUACACCUGAAAGUUGCCUAGCUCCGCACUCCUCUCUGGACUAGCUCUGUGUUCGUUCUUCCAGAAGAUUUGGCCAACUAAGCAGAGUGUGCUUAUCCCUUUAGGGUGGGGAAGAUUAAAUUUCUUAGCUUGGUUGCCUGUCAUUCACCUGCAAAAAUCAACACUCAGCUCUAAGGGAGGGAACCUGCUGGGUUGUGAAUUAGGUAAAAAUAUAUUUUUCACAAAAAUGGAGGGGGUGAGGUCAAAAUAAAUGUACACAACAAGCCUGUUUAUAACAGUUAUUAGUUAACUUAAACGAAGACCUCUCUAGCUGGAGAAGUUUCCGGAAGUUUCCAUUGCUGGAGAAAGUCUGGGAAGAAGUGGGGGAGCACCAGAUCAGGGGGCCUGAGCACUAGUCUCAGGAAUGCUUGCCCUCCCUGAGCAGGCUUUUCUGUCCAUUCGGAGAGACCCCUUUCUCUGGGCUUGUGUUGGGUGAGCGAAGGUGGCAGUGGGUGUUAUCACCUGGGCUGGGGGCAGAGGGAGGAUGGAAUGACCUCCAGGAGCUCUAGCCAGGCAGAACGCUCAGCACUCCUUCGCUGAUAGACCAAGCUGCAAAUCAGGAAUUUAUUAGGAGCUGAGACUCAUUUUCCCACCCUUUAUAGCCCUGACGACUCAGAGCCAAACUCUGGCAAGGGGCUUCCUCAUGGUUUUAAUUAGACAAUUAAUUUUUUAUUGGGUCGUUUGAUUUCCGGAGCCGAUUCCACUCUCCCUCUUACCCCCACCUGCCUCCCAGCUGUGAACAGCCAAGGGGAGGCAGGGGGAUUCGGGGAGGGGUGCAGAAAAAAAAAAGCCUCCGUCUCCCUUUGAGCUGAUUUAGGAGUCAGUGAGUGGGGAGGGGGCCGGAAUCCCUCUGCCACCGUCAGCAGGUCUAGCUCCAGAGACACUAUCCAGAGCUCAGACCUGGGCUUGCAGGGUCUGCACAAAGGCAUUCUUAGCUGCUCCUCCCAAGCUUCUCCCAAGCUGUUGGGCUAAUUAGUAACACGGGGUGGUGGGGGAGAGGGAACAGUGCCCAAAAUACAUUAGCAGCAUUUCUGUAGUUAAUCCGGGUGGUGCUGGAGGCUGUUUACCCUCUACCCAGGGAUUAGGAAACUGUUUGAGUUAGAAGGGCAGAGAGAGGCCAGGGCUGGGCUCUGUCCCCCACCUGCUUGUAGGAGCUGGGGCGGGGGUGCUGAGCCAGCAGAAAAAAAAAGAAGUGGGAGAAAACUGUCUCCAAUCUAUCUGCCUUAUUGAUCUCCCUGGCGUCCAGCUGCUGGCCUGCUUUUGAAUCUUGAUCCUCUCCACUCCUGCUUUACCCGUCGCCACUGGCCUUGUGGUCAAAUAGGAAACUGGCUCAGAAAGGUUGGGAGGGAGGAAAGAGUGAAGGGAUGCGGGUUUUAGCGGUGGGAACGAGCCUGGGGGUGGAAACGUCUCCUAUAUGCCAUAGAUGUUCUCUUGGAGGAGGAAGGGGGAGUCCCCUCUGGAUUCCUGACCACCCCCAUACUCCACCCUGAAAGGAAAAGAAGGUUAGACUCAAGGAAGAACUUACGCACUUUCAGUAGCAGAAAUGAACAGCUCCCUCUUUAGAGUUUGAUGAUUCGGCAGAGCCGGAUAUUUUGAGCAACGUUGCUUGGAGGCCUUAAAAUGGAAUUGUGGGGAGUGAGAGGACUAUUUCCUCAGGUGUCCUGUGGGUGGGGACAUUGUCACUUGUUGUUCCAGCAUAAGGACUCCUGAAAGUGCGCGGACAAACUCAAAGAGGCCGACACAGCCACUCUGAACGAACCUGACAAACCUCUGCAGACACAGAAAUGGGCU